UACGUAGGUGGCAAGCGUUGUCCGGAUUUAUUGGGGUUAAAGGGUGCGUAGGCGGUCUUAUAAGUCAGUGGUGAAAUACGGCAGCUCAACUGUCGAGGUGCCAUUGAUACUGUAGGACUUGAGUACAGACGAGGUAGGCGGAAUUGACAGUGUAGCGGUGAAAUGCUUAGAUAUCGUCAAGAACACCGAUAGCGAAGGCAGCUUACUAGGCUGUAACUGACGCUGAGGCACGAAAGUGUGGGGAUCAAACAGG
rnacentral:rRNA from 1 species